UACGGAGGGUGCAAGCGUUAUCCGGAUUCACUGGGUUUAAAGGGUGCGUAGGCGGCGGUGUAAGUCGGAUGUGAAAUCCCGAGGCUCAACCUCGGAACUGCAUUCGAUACUGCAUCGCUAGAGUACUGGAGAGGAGAUUGGAAUUUACGGUGUAGCAGUGAAAUGCGUAGAUAUCGUAAGGAAGACCAGUGGCGAAGGCGAAUCUCUGGACAGUUACUGACACUGAGGCACGAAGGCUAGGGGAGCAAACGGG
rnacentral:rRNA from 1 species